UACAGAGGUCUCAAGCGUUGUUCGGAUUCAUUGGGCGUAAAGGGUGCGUAGGCGGCGCGGUAAGUCGGGUGUCAAAUCUCGGGGCUUAACUCCGAAACUGCAUUCGAUACUGCCGUGCUUGAGGACUGGAGAGGAGACUGGAAUUUACGGUGUAGCGGUGAAAUGCGUAGAUAUCGUAAGGAAGACCAGUGGCGAAGGCGGGUCUCUGGACAGUUCCUGACGCUGAGGCACGAAGGCCAGGGGAGCAAACGGG
rnacentral:rRNA from 1 species